rnacentral:rRNA from 1 species
GAACCUGCGGAAGGAUCAUUAUUGAAAAGCAAUAGUGGGUUGUAGCUGGCUCCUUGGAGCAUGUGCACGCCUGCUGUCUUAAUCCAUCCACCUGUGCAUCAUUUGUAGUCCUGUGGGUAGUGUGGCUGAAUCCUCAUUGUUGGGUUUGGUCUGAUUCUCUCAGGUCUAUGUCUUUUACAUAUACCACGUAGUAUGUUGCAGAAUGUUAUCAAAUGGGUCUUUGUGCCUAUAUAAAUAUAUACAACUUUCAGCAACGGAUCUCUUGGCUCUCGCAUCGAUGAAGAACGCAGCGAAAUGCGAUAAGUAAUGUGAAUUGCAGAAUUCAGUGAAUCAUCGAAUCUUUGAACGCACCUUGCGCUUCUUGGUAUUCCGAGGAGCAUGCCUGUUUGAGUGUCAUUAAAUUCUCAAUCCCCUUCCAGCUUUUAGCUUGGUUGGUGGCUUGGUUGGUGGGGGUAUCUGCAGGCCCUUCAUAGGUCAGCUCCCCUAAAAUGUAUUAGCGGAACCGUUUGCGGUCUGUCACUGGUGUGAUAAUUAUCUACAUCACAGGGCUGCUUACUGAUUGUUCAGCUUCUAAUAGUCCCCUCUGUUGGACAAUUCUGAAACACU